CUGCACACAACAUAUGCCAACAUCAGCAUCACAAUCAACAAAACUAUGUAAUACAUAAGUGCUUCCAAAGAGCUGGCAUUAUAAAAGAUGAAACCGAAGUUGGGUUAGAAAAUGUUGAAGAUGAUAUGUUUCUUGAUGUACUAGAAGACAUUGACUGGGCACAUAUUUCAGGGGGAAUUGAUUUUGUUAGUUUUGUUGAUUGUGAUGCUGAUGUUGCCAUAUGUUGUGUGCAGAAUGAUGAUGAUAUAAUUAUGGAAGUUGUGCCAGCAUCACUUGAAAGUAAUAAUUCAGAGGAAUCUGAAGUAGCAGAUGGCAAAUCUGUGGACCCUCCAGUCUGGC
rnacentral:lncRNA from 1 species